rnacentral:rRNA from 1 species
UUAGGAAUAUUCGUCAAUGGGGGAAACCCUGAACGAGCAAUGCCGCGUGAGUGAUGACGGUCUUAAUGAUUGUAAAACUCUGUUGUAAAGGAAGAAUAGCUAUCAUAGGUAAUGAUGAUAGUGUGACGGUACUUUACCAGAAAGCCCCGGCUAACUACGUGCCAGCAGCCGCGGUAAUACGUAGGGGGCGAGCGUUAUCCGGAUUUAUUGGGCGUAAAGCGUUCGUAGGCGGUUUGUUAAGUCUAAGAUUUAAGCCCGAGGCUCAACCUCGGUUCGUUUUAGAAACUGGCAGACUUGAGUGUGGUAGAGGCAAGUGGAAUUUCUAGUGUAGCGGUUAAAUGCGUAGAUAUUAGAAGGAACACCAGUGGCGAAGGCGGCUUGCUGGGCCAUUACUGACGCUGAGGAACGAAAGCGUGGGGAGCAAAUAGG